rnacentral:sRNA from 1 species
AACAUACGGUACAAAAUACAGAGGGAAC